rnacentral:rRNA from 1 species
AGAGUUUGAUCCUGGCUCAGGACGAACGCUGGCGGCGCGCCUAACACAUGCAAGUCGAACGGAGCUGAGAGGAGCUUGCUUUUCUCAGCUUAGUGGCGAACGGGUGAGUAACGCGUGAGUAACCUGCCCUGGAGUGGGGGACAACAGUUGGAAACGACUGCUAAUACCGCAUAAGCCCACGGCCCGGCAUCGGGCUGAGGGAAAAGGAUUUAUUCGCUUCAGGAUGGACUCGCGUCCAAUUAGCUAGUUGGUGAGGUAACGGCCCACCAAGGCGACGAUUGGUAGCCGGACUGAGAGGUUGAACGGCCACAUUGGGACUGAGACACGGCCCAGACUCCUACGGGAGGCAGCAGUGGGGGAUAUUGCACAAUGGGGGAAACCCUGAUGCAGCGACGCCGCGUGGAGGAAGAAGGUUUUCGGAUUGUAAACUCCUGUCGUUAGGGACGAUAAUGACGGUACCUAACAAGAAAGCACCGGCUAACUACGUGCCAGCAGCCGCGGUAAAACGUAGGGUGCAAGCGUUGUCCGGAAUUACUGGGUGUAAAGGGAGCGCAGGCGGACCGGCAAGUUGGAAGUGAAAACUAUGGGCUCAACCCAUAAAUUGCUUUCAAAACUGCUGGCCUUGAGUAGUGCAGAGGUAGGUGGAAUUCCCGGUGUAGCGGUGGAAUGCGUAGAUAUCGGGAGGAACACCAGUGGCGAAGGCGGCCUACUGGGCACCAACUGACGCUGAGGCUCGAAAGCAUGGGUAGCAAACAGGAUUAGAUACCCUGGUAGUCCAUGCCGUAAACGAUGAUUACUAGGUGUUGGAGGAUUGACCCCUUCAGUGCCGCAGUUAACACAAUAAGUAAUCCACCUGGGGAGUACGACCGCAAGGUUGAAACUCAAAGGAAUUGACGGGGGCCCGCACAAGCAGUGGAGUAU